CGGAGCAGCAGUGGGAAUAUGGACAUGGGGCAACCUGAUCCAGCCAUGCGCGUGUGUGAGAAGGCCCUCGGUGUAAAGCACUUUCAGCGAGGAAGAACGCCUAGUGGUUAAUNCCAUUAGGAAAGACAUCACUCGCAGAAGAAGCACCGGCUAACUCCGUGCCAGCAGCCGCGGUAAUACGGAGGGUGCAAGCGUUAAUCGGAAUUACUGGGCGUAAAGCGCGCGUAGGUGGCUUGAUAAGCCGGUUGUGAAAGCCCCGGGCUCAACCUGGGAACGGCAUCCGGAACUGUCAGGCUGGAGUGCAGGAGAGGAAGGUAGAAUUCCCGGUGUAGCGGUGAAAUGCGUAGAGAUCGGGAGGAAUACCAGUGGCGAAGGCGGCCUUCUGGACUGACACUGACACUGAGGUGCGAAAGCGUGGGUAGCAAACAGGAUUAGAUACCCUGGUAGUCCACGCCGUAAACGAUGUCGACCAGCCGUUGGGUGCCUAGCGCACUUUGUGGCGAAGUUAACGCGAUAAGUCGACCGCCUGGGGAGUACGGCCGCAAGGUUAAAACUCAAAUGAAUUGACGGGGGCCCGCACAAGCGGUGGAGCAUGUGGUUUAAUUCGAUGCAACGCGAAGAACCUUACCUACCCUUGACAUCGACAGAAGCCGAGAGAGAUCUUGGUGUGCCUUCGGGAACUGUCAGACAGGUGCUGCAUGGCUGUCGUCAGCUCGUGUUGUGAAAUGUUGGGUUAAGUCCCGUAACGAGCGCAACCCUUGUCCUUAUUUGCCAGCGCGUAAUGGCGGGAACUCUAAGGAGACUGCCGGUGACAAACCGGAGGAAGGUGGGGACGACGUCAAGUCAUCAUGGCCCUUACGGGUAGGGCUACACACGUGCUACAAUGGCCGGUACAAAGGGCAGCGAGCUCGCGAGAGUCAGCGAAUCCCUUAAAGCCGGUCUCAGUCCGGAUCGGAGUCUGCAACUCGACUCCGUGAAGUCGGAAUCGCUAGUAAUCGGAAUCAGAA
rnacentral:rRNA from 1 species